rfam:Pseudomonas sp. M47T1 contig032, whole genome shotgun sequence.
CCACCCGUGUCACCGGGUGAAUCUAGAAGGCUGAAUCAAGAGCGCUUUCGACAAUGUGACGAGGCACCACAAGGUGCGGGGUACUAAUCGCGAGAGGCGUACCCUUCUGGCAGCCAUGGCCGGACAAGGGC